rnacentral:lncRNA from 1 species
GAAUUUCUGAAAGUGAGCCUUAGGCAAAAGGUUGGAAACUUGUGCUGGAAACUUACCUUAUGAUUAAGCAUGUGACUCCCACGGGACUUAAUUCUCUUCCAGUCCCAAGGGUUCCAAGGCCAGAGAAAGGUCCUGGUCUUGAUUGCUGGCAUGUUUACUCUUCCAAGUACACUGAGAUCAAAUGCAAAGACAAACCAUCAAAGGUGAUUCUGGGUAUUAUGACCAUUCCUGCAGAAAAUAACUCUAAAAUCUGGACAUGAUACACAAAGUGACUGCCUAAAGGAGCUGAAGAGAGGACAUAAGUGGAUCGCCUCUGCUGUUGCAUGUUGGCUUGGAGAACAGAAGAUGAGGAGCCAAAUAAGCAAGUCCUUCAGCCCCAGGCUUCUAGCACGGGGCUGCAUGUAGGCUAUGCAUUCUGGGGAGUGAGGAGAUCAUGAAUGCUGAAAAUAAAUGAAGGAAUCCAGAAAAGCAAGAGUCAAAGAAGGCAUCUGCAGGCCAAAUCUCUGAUCAACCCCUGACCCACAUACACACAAAAUACACUCAAAGCAGCUCAGCUAAAGACAAAGAUCUGCACUCAGAGUAGAGCUGCCUCCCCAGAAACAGAGCUCGCAGUUCAGGCCCAGCAAGAAAAUUACCUGCAAAACACAGGAAAAACAACACUCAUCAGAGAAAAAGAACAGAAUCUGGAAUCUUCACAACCUAGCAUUCAUCAUAUCCAAGAUUGAAACCCAAAUUAUGGGACAUAUUUAAAAACCAGGAAAAUGGAACGUAGUCUUAAGAGAAAAGUCAAUCAAAUCUGACCUGGAGAUGAAUAAUAUAUUGAAACUUAAAGGGCAAGGGUUUUAAUUUUUGUUUUCUUGUUUUUUUUCUGUUUGUUUGUUUGUUUUUGUUUUUGUUUUUUGAGAUGGAAUCUUGCUCUGUCGCCCAGGCUGGAGUGCAGUGGCGCAAUCUUGGCUCACUGCAGCCUCUGCCUCCUGGGUUCAAGCAAUUCUCCUGUCUCAGCCUUCCGAGUAGCUGGGACUACAGGCGCACGCCACCACACCCAGCUAAUUUUUGUGUUUUUAGUAGAGACAGGGUUUCACCAUAUUGGUCAGGCUGGUCUUAAACUCCUGACCUCAGGUGAUCCACCUGCCUCGGCCUCCCAAAGUGCUGGCAUUACAGGCAUGAGCCACCGCACCCAGCCUUGUUUUCUGGGGUUUUGUUGAGACGAGGUCUCACUCUGUCACACAGGCUGGAGUGUAGUGGUGCGAUCCCAGCUCACUGCAGCUUUAAACUCCUGGGCUCAAGCAAUCCUUUUGCCUCAGCUAGCAUGCUCAGUUAAUUUUUAAAUAUUUUUUGUAGACAUGGGGUCUUGCUAUGUUGCCUAGGCUGGUCUUAAACUCCUGGCUUCAAGCAAUCCUUCCUCCUUGGCCUCCCAAAGUGGUAGGAUUAUAGGUGUAAGCUCUCCUGCCCAGCCGGCAAGGGCUUUAAAGUGUUAUGUUAUUUUAUAGUUUUAGGAGGUUUUGUAGCUCUCUAUGAUGAAGUUUAAAAAUUAAGAAAAAAAGCUUGUUUUUGAUUAAUCAAAAUCUCAGCACAGAAAUGGGACAUUUCAUCAGAGAAAUAGAUACAAUGAAGAAGAGCCAAAUGGAAAGCCCCCUUUUUUGGUUGCUCUUUUUCUGCUUUCAAGGUUUAUAUUAGCUUGACUUAGAUGUGCCUUGGAGUGGACUUCGUUAUGUCCCUUCUGCUUAGUGUUUGUCUAAUAUCUUGAAUCUGCAAAUCUCUGACUUUCAUUACAGCUGGGAAGUGUUUGGUUAUUAUUUCUUUAAAUAUUUUUUCUACUUGAGUUUCCUCUCUCCCUCUGAGAUUUCAAUUACAUGUAUGUUUGUUUGAUAUCAUCUAACAAGUCUCUGAGAUUUUGUUCAUUAUGUUCUAAAUCUUUUUCCACUCUGUUACUGAUUUUGAGUAAUUUUGAUUGAUCUGUCUUAAAAUUUACUCUUUCCUUUAACAUGUCCACUUGGCUGUUAACUCCAUCUGGUGAAUUUUCUACUUAAGAAAUUAUACUUUUCAGCUGUAGAAUUUACAUGAAGAAGUACAUUAUCAACUGUAAAUGGGCCAUGAAAAGUUAAGGUUGAAUUUUGUAAUUUAUAAAUCAACUAUUAAACAGUGCAGAAUAGCUGUAAAGCAUCAGGAAAAUUAAAAUAGAAUAUAUCUUAAAAUAUUACGUAAUUUUUAAAGGCGGGAAAUAAGAAAUGAAGAAACAAAUGUCAGAGGAGACAAAUAGAAAACAAAAUAAAACAAAAAUGAUAGACUCAUACCCAACCAUUUCAAAAAUUACAUUAAACAUUUAUGAGCUAAACACUCCAAUUAAAAGAUAGAGAUUAAUAAUUGUUUUUAAAUGGGUACAAAAACAAUUAUAACAUCUCACCAAAGAAGAUACACAGAUGCCAAAAAAUUUGAAAAGCUGUUUAAUAGUAUAUGUUAUUAGGUAAUUACAAAUUAAAACAACAAUGAGAUACCACUACACAUCUACUAGAAUAGCCAAAAUUCAAAAUGCUAACAACACCAAAUGCUGGUAAGGAUGUGGAACAACAGAAACUGUCAUUCAUUGUUGAUGGGAAUGCAAAAUGGUUUGGCCACUUUGAAAGACAGUUUUGACAGUUUCUUGCAAAACGAAACAUACUUUUACCAUAUGAUUCAACAAUCUUACUCCUGAGUAUUUACCCAAAUGAGCUGAAAACUUAUGUCCACACAAAACCCUGCACAUGGAUGUUUAUAGCAACUUUAUUCAUAAUUGCCAAAAGCUGGAAGCAAUCAAGAUGUCCUUCAGUAGGCAAAUGGAUAAACCGUGAUAUAUCCAGACAAUGGAAUAUUAUUCAGUGUUAAAAAGAAAUGAGCUGUCAAGCCAUGAAGACAUGGAGGAAUGUUAAAUGCAUAUUACUAGCUGAAAAAAGCCAAUUUGAAAGGGCUGUGUACUGGAUGGGUCAAACUAUAUGACAUUCUGGAAAAGGCAAAACCAUGGAGACAAAAAGAUCAGUAGUUGCCAAGGGUUGGGCAGAGGCAAGGAUGAAUAGAUGAAACAUAGAUUUUUAAAGGAGUGCAACUAUUCUAUAUGAUACUGUCAUGGUGGCUACAUGUACAUAAAUACAUUAGACAUUUGUCAAAACUCAUAGAAUGUAUAAUACCAAGAGCAAACUCUAACGUAAACUACGGACUUUGGAUAAUAAUGAUACAUCAGUGUAGGUUCAUUGAUUGUAGCAAAUGCACCACUCUGGUAUGGGAUGUUGAUAGUGGGGAGGCCAUAUGUGUAGGGGUAGGGGGUGUGUGGGAACUCUCUGUACUUUCAUCUCAAUUUAGCUGUGAAUCUAAAACUGCUCUAAAAAAAUAAAAUCCAUUUUUUAAAAACCUAAAUAUAAACUAUGUGCAAAGACAUACUUUCAAUAUAAAGACAGAAGGAAACCAAAUAUAGAUGGAUAGAAAAAGAUAUAUCAUGUAAAUACUAAGCACAAGAAAGCUGGAGUGGCUACAUUAGUAUCAAAUAAAAAUAGAUUUCUAAAAAAAAGUAUCAUAAAAGAUAAAGAAGGACACUUUAGAAGAAGAAAAGGAAUAAUUGAUCAAGAUGACAUAAAAUUUACAAAUUUAUUUGUGCCUAAUAAUAGUCUCAAAUUACAUAAGGCAAAAACUGAUAGAAUGAAAGGAAGAAAUAGGCAAUUAUAAUUGGAAAUUUUAAUGUCUCUCAGAAGUUGAUAGAGUAACCAACAAAAAAUCAGCAGACAGAAAACCUGAACAACAUUAUCAAUCACUUUGACCUAAUUAAUAUUUUUAGAACAUUUCACUCAGCAAUAGCAAAAUGCACAUUCUUUUCAAGUGCACAUGGAAUGCUUACCAAGAUAGACCAUAUUCUGGACUAUAAAAAAGUUUUAAUAAAUAUUAAAAAGGUUGAAAUCAAAUAGUUUGUUCUCUGACCACAAUGAAAUUAAAUUGGAAACCAAAAACAAUAAGAUAACUAGGAAAACCCCAAGUAUUUGGAAACUAAGCAACACACUUCUAAAUAUUUAUUGGGCUAAAGACUAAAUCACAAGAGAGAUUGAAAAUAUUUUGCCCUGAUGAUAAUAUAAAUACACAUUUCAAAAUUUGUGCAAUGUAGCUAACAUAGCACUUUGAGGGAAAUUUACAGUUUUGAAAGCCUAUACGAAGUGGGGAAAGUUCUUAAAUCAAUGAUCUUAAUUUUCACUGUUAAAAAAUAGAAAAAAAGAGUAAAUUGAACUCAAAGCAAGCAGAGCAAGAAAAUAAUAAAGAUAAUGACAGACAUCAAUGAAUUAGAGAACGAAAAAAAGAGAUAAAAAAAUCAUUAAAAGCAAAAAGCAGUCCUUUGAAAAAACUAAUAAAAUUGAUAAAUCUCAAGCCUGACUGGCAAAGAAAAAAAAAAUGAACAAUAUCAAGAAUGAAAGAAGG